rnacentral:rRNA from 1 species
GACGUAGGGGGCCAGCGUUGUUCGGAAUUACUGGGUGUAAAGGGUUCGUAGGCGGUGCGGCAAGUUGGGAGUGAAAUCUCUGGGCUUAACCCAGAGGCUGCUUCCAAAACUGCUGUGCUUGAGUGUGGGAGAGGCGCGUGGAAUUGCAGGUGUAGCGGUGAAAUGCGUAGAUAUCUGCAGGAACACCCGUGGCGAAAGCGGCGCGCUGGACCACUACUGACGCUGAGGAACGAAAGCUAGGGGAGCAAACAGGAAUUAGAACCUACCGUGUCAG